UGCGUAGGCGGCUUUCUAAGUCGGAUGUGAAAACUCUGGGCUCAACCCAGAGCCUGCAUCUGAAACUGGAGAGCUAGGGUUCUGGAGGGGAAAGCGGAAUUCCUGGUGUAGCGGUGAAAUGCGUAGAUAUCAGGAGGAACACCGGUGGCGAAGGCGGCUUUCUGGACAGAUACCGACGCUGAGGCACGAAAGCUAGGGGAGGCAAACA
rnacentral:rRNA from 1 species